rnacentral:lncRNA from 1 species
AUACAAAGAAAAAAGAUUGAAAGGUGACUUUCGGUUUUACUUUUCCAUUCGCAGAUCGUCCUCUUUUUCUUUCUUUCUUUUUUCGCCUUACAUUUAUUGAUUAUUUACUAAAGAAACAGUUAAUAAUAAAAGAAAGACGUACCUAGUAACCCCAUCCUCUCCCUCUGUCGUCAUCGGAGUUGAGUGGGGGUUGGAGAGUCUGAGGAGAGGUUUCGUCGAGCGGCGCAUAGGGAGUUUUCGUUUAGGUUUUGUUUUUGAUGAAAGUGUUAGGUCUUUUUUUAGCUUUAUUUUAGUUUUAAGCACAGAGACUAAAAUGUCGCCGUUUAUUGCUAGCACAAUGGCUUCAAAACGACGUCGUUUUGAAGACCCGAUUCGAACGGUGACCCGAUCUGGGAAGGAUCCGCGCAUUAUAGAUCGGGUGGUAUAUUUAUUCAACAGGCCCUUCCGUGUUUACUGGAAUUGUGAUUUAAUUUCUUUAAUUGUUUGCAAUUUGUACCACAUAUUUGAUUCCGAUUCCAUUUGGGUCCAAUUUUAAACGGCGCCGUUUGCUACGAGUGGUUUUGAAUGUUUUGAUUUUGCGCAUAAUUACAAUUUUACUCCCUUAUAUUUUUGGUCGAUUACCAAUUUAGUUUAUCUUUAUUUUUCCUUUUAUUUCUAUUUGUAGUGUUUUAUUUUUAUUUUUAUUUGAAUUCCAAUAUCAUUUUUAAUCCCAUUAUUAUUAUUAUUAUUAUUAUUAUUAUUAUUAUUAUUUCUUCUUUAUAUUUAAAUUGUGUCUUAACUUUAACUUGAUUUCUAAUAGCAUAAUUUAACAUAUUUUAAUAUUUAGUUUGACAUUACCUUUAAACUUAUUAUUAUUAUAAUUUUAAAAUGUAAUAUACUAUUAUUUUAAAUUAUUAAUGACAUGUUUUAAAUUUAUCAUACAUUUUUAUAUAUCUAUUAUAUAUUUUUAUCUUCAAACUUUACAUGUUACUAUUUGAUUUAUUAUUUAUCAAUAUGUAUAUUUUUCUAAGAAUUUGGUAUAAUGUGUAUAUAUUUUAAUGUUUUGUUUAGGUUAUAGCUUAAAAUUCAUUUUUGUAUAUUUAUAUGCUAAAUGUUUAUAUAAAUUUUUAUACUAUUUUUUUUAAGGUUGUUAUUAUCUUAUUUCAAGUUUAUUUUGAGCCCAUGCGUGCAAUUUAUUUUAAAACUUUUAUACGUAGGACAUUUUUUUUUCAUUUUUUAUUAUCUUGGUGUAUUUUUAAAAUUGAUGAUAGAUUUGUUUAGCUUUUGAACAUCAAUGUUGAUAUUUGUAUAACACUUAUUUAAUUGUUUUAGUUUAAAUUUAGAUUGUAUUUCAUAAUCUACAUUGUAUGUAUUGUUAUCCAAUCACGUUCCUUUUACGAGAAUUGUAUUUUAUUAAGGCACUAUAGUUGUUGUAUUACUUAAUUCCUAAAAGCUCGAUGUUCAUAAGUUCUCGAAAGAAUCGCGCCUUAACUUACUAGGCUUUGAUUCUUCCCAAUGAAUUUAGAUAUUCGAGUGUUCAAUUUAUUAAAAUCAUUCAAUUUUAAAACUAAGCAUUUGAGAUUUCAAAGUGUUGAAUCCUAACUUACUGGAUGUGACAUUUUGCUAUCUCGAUUUUUAAAAUAAAGGCAAUGUUUGAUGUUUAGGAACUUCGAGAAAUUAAACCCUAACUUACUGGACUCUGAUUUGUCGCUUGACUUAAAUGACCAAACAACCUUCUCAAAGUACAUGAUUUUUAAAUUUUGAAAAUUAAAAAUAUGUACAUAGUUUUGACGAUUGAAUUGUUGUACUCUAACUCACUGAGUGUAGCAAUUUAUUUCUUCAAAAUGAGUGUAUCUUAUUAUUUUAUUUGGUUAUUCAAAAUUUGAACUUUAAAAGGAUCGUAUUUUAAAAUCUUUUCAAAUCCUCGGCACUAAGACAUUAAACAAUCAAUUCGGUACCAAUUUUGGGCGUUACGAGGGUGCUAACCCUUCCUCGUGCGUAACUGACUCCCGAGCCUAUUUUCUCAAAAUUCGUAGACCUAUAAUCAUUUUCUAGGUGAUCCAAUCAAACCUCACUAAAAGAUUGGUGGCGACUCCCAUUUUAUUUUUUAAAAGUCGAUCACCAUUUUUCAAAUUAUAAUAAAAAAAUAGUUUUUACAGCUUGGCGACUCCACUGGGGACCAAAAUAAGAGAGUCAGGCCGUAAAAUUGAUUGUUUUUUAUCUUAUUGUCGAAAAUUAAAAUUUGAUUUAAAAAAAACGACGAUCUUCUCUUUGCAUUUUUUUACAUUAUUACUGUAAAUUGAAUUUUAUAUUUUGUCAUCAUAUUGCAUGAAGGCUAUUCUUGUCUUACCCCUCUAAGUGGGAGUGAGAAGCUACUCCUUCGUGAGGUUUUCACCUCUGUGCAGGAUAGUGAUCACUUUCGGGAUACAUCCGUACUUAUGUCUUCGUGAGAUCUUUAUCUCCUUGCAGCCAUAGGGAAUUGUAUUCCCCUGAACCGAACUCGGUCUGUAUGAGCCUAUAAUGGGUGAGCAUCGAGGAAUCUGCUGGUUCAGGUACCUUGACUCUUUAGAGCCAAACCUCAUAUAGUGGACUUAGGAACUUAACCUAGGUAGAGCCACUCCAAAUCUCUAGUAUUUACCUGAUUAGGUACUUUUUGUUUUCCGUGCUUGCUUAUGUUUUGUACUAACCCCUCUUGUUGUGUUUUGAUUAUGAUUGCAUUGCAUUGCAUUUACAUCUUAGGAAAAAGAUAUUGAUUCAAGUCCGAUUACUAAAUUAGAAAGCUUGUCAUGGAAUACGAAUUCCUUGAUAAAGUGGAAAACAAUACGACUGCCCGAAUAUAUUCUGAGAAACACAAGAAGGGCGAUCGAAGAGUUCAUGACCUUGCUUCGUGGCCUGAGGAUUCAAGGCGAUCGUCUGAGAGCCCUCAACGUUCCAACCUCUUAAAGAAGCCGACGAGCCUUAUGAAGACGGGUAGAUGGAGGAUUACGACCAAGAUCAAGAAAAUGAGCUAGCAAUGGCAUCUAUUGGCGAGAUUACCUCAAACGUGCGGAUGAAGAAAAGGAUCGAUAUUGUCUCUUGGAAUAUAAGGGCAAAUCCGUACAUACCUCUGCUUUAUGUAAAGGAAUUUGCUUUCUAGAAAAGUUUUCUAAAUGUAAUUGAAUCAGGUUCAACGUCUCUUUAGGCAUUCAUUUCAUGCAUUUGCAUUACAUGCAUUAAAAUCCAUCAAAAGAGUCUAAUUGAGUAAGUUUAUUUCAGCUAGUCAACCUAACACCCUUACGGUAUCCAAGCAAAGACUAGAGAAAUGGAACGAAGGUUGGAAAAAUUAGAGUGAAUGCAGAUACAGAUGCAGGAGCAAUUGACCGAAUUUCAACAGGAAAUGAGAGAUCAGAUGCUAGAAUUACAGAGAUCUAUGAUGAGCCAGAUCAACCGAUUGCUAGUUGGAGAGUUAGAAAAAAGGAAAGACUCGGUGAUCCACUUUGGGGUUGAUAAUGAGGAUCUUGCCCAUUCCCUAGAUUAUACUCCAACAAGUGUCCAAGUUCAGCCAAAUGGGCGUCCACAAAGGGCACUCUUUACUAUCAGAUCACAACAGUAUCAGACUGGUACAGCAACACCAGUGGGUUGCUUGACAGACCCAAGGUCCAAUUUGAGGAACAAUUUUCCUGUAACUCUUGAUAACCCAGCUAAAACCAAGCAGGCGAGGGUGGAGUACCUAGCUACUACAAAGGCCCCGAGGAAGAAGGGGAAUAAAUGGGAUAAUGUGGGCAGGUAUAACAAGGGCCAUUCAAAACCAAUCACUGCGAGCCGACUAAAGACGGAAACCACCAGACAUCAGAGCCCUUUAAAACAAGAAUCUGGAGUGAAACCAGGUACGGAGAAGCUCCAGUUCACACCAAUUUCGAUGUCAUAUAAGGAGCUAUAUCAAAGCUUGUUCGAUGCGCAUGUUGUUGCUCCUCAUUACUUGACCCCUUUACAACCUCCUUAUCCCAAAUGGUACGAUAUAAAUGCACAAUGUGACUAUCAUGCGGGAAUUUUAGGGCACUCAGUAGAGGAUUGUAUUGCCUUCAAAAAGCUAGUUGAAAGACCCAUCAAUAUAGGCGUUGUCAAAUUUGAUUAUUCAUCCAGUGUAGAAAAUACUCUGGCCAAUCAUAUUGGGGAUGAGGUGAAUGUGGUGUACGAAGAGGUGUUGGGAAAUGUUCACAUCAAUGACAUGUCUGAAGACACAAAUGAAAAGGGACCUUGUUAGAUGUCCGCCCUUAUAAAUUUGAGAACGUUCUAAGCAAUUGGCCUGCGAAAGAAAUCCCUGUAGUUUUUAGAGCUUAUCUAGAGUAAUGUUCAGAACAUUUUUGUUAUUUUUAGCCUAAAGAUGAUAGAAAUUCCUUUGUGGAAAAGGCUCAUGUCUGAACGUUAUUAUUCUAGUGAAAUACAUCUUUGCGAUCACUUUUGAGCCAAUGUUAUUUCAUUCUUUUUGAAUAAUUAUUUCUGAUUAUUUUAUUCUUUUAGAUUUUCUUCCACAUCAUUCAUUCAUUCAUAAUCAUAUUGUAUUAUUCAUGAAUUUACACAUUCUUUUGUAUAUUCUUUGCUACUUGCUAUGGGUCCUCAGAUAUCAAUGACAUGAAUGACACUGUUACAGACUCAGAUUUUCCUCUUGAGCGAGGCAUGUGUUUAGACGGAUCUCAUGACUUUGGAAAUGACACAGGUCGUAGCUUAUCUCCGAACUUGUCGAAGAUGGUAGAAGAAGAGGAUAAACAGAUCAUGCCUCACAAGGAAUCAUUAGGAAUUAUGGGCUUAGUGAAGAUUAGAAUUGACCUGACCUCAAAGAUGAAGCAAGACCUUGUUCAAAGAUGUCUUUGUAGGAUCAUACCAGGACUAACUGCUGAUAAUGAAAUCUACACAAUAGCGCGAUGUCAGAAAUUUGCAGUAUAAGCGAUGCAAUUCUUUGUCGGGGUAAUGCCCCUCUCGUUGACUCAGCAUAGCUUUGCCCAUUUGAAGUCGAGUUUCUAUCCCUUCAAGAUGUUGUUAGAUUUUAAGUUGUAGUUACACCUCAAAAGGCUCUAUGAAAGAAAUCUGAUACCAAAGAAGGUUUUUUGCAUGCAAGAUGAAAGUGAAAGAUCUUAGGUGGAGGACUUUAUCUAUAAAAACAUUGAUUCUGGUCGAAAGAGGAUAACGAGAACUUGCCUAACCCCAUGAGCUCAAAAAAAAUCCAAAUCCAAAUCCAAAUCAAAAACAAAAAAGAAGAAAAAGAAAAAGAAAAAGAAAAAUCAAAAUGAAAAAGAAAAAAGAGAGAAGAAAAAAGGAGAGGCCAAGGCAAAAACCCGCAAAGGACGCUUUAUGACCAAAGGUGGUUUUGAGUUGAAAACCCGAAAAAGGCGACUCAAAUUUUGAGCAAAAUAGGGCAUGUACAUCACCAUUAUCGAAGACUUCUAAUGGGCAUUGCUUCCUUUUUUUUAGAUCGUUAGAGGCUGCUUCAUACACCAAUGUCAUUAUAUGCUUAUUCCAGAGAAGAUAGUAUUAGAAAAUACAUUGAACUGGAACAAUAGCACGAUAGCUGAGGUCUGAAAUCAAUUCAGAAGCAGACAACACGAUUCGUCACUGAAUUUCUUGGAGAUGAACAUCAAGAAAAUUGAAGAAAAAUGACUGAGAUUUGCAAGGACUGGCAUGGGAAAUUACCAUUUGCCCUCGUUGCUUGUCGAACAUCUGUACUGGGGCAACACCUCUCUCUUUGGUUUACAGGAUUGAGUUAGUUUUACCUAUUAAAAUCCCCUCUCUCUAGGUAUUAAAGUUGGAAGGAUCCAAUCGCGAUGUGAUCAGUUGGACCUAGGAAAAGGGUUAAAAGCUAUUCACUAGGGUCGGAUGUACCAGAUGAUUCAAGCCCAUAAUAAAUAGGGUCAUCUCAGAGAAUUCCACGAGAGGGCUGGAUGUCGAAAAAGAUCCUUCCCCAACGAAAAGAUUCUAGAGGGAAAUGAAUGUCAAACCGGGAAUGUCCCUAUAUUGUAAAGAAGACCUUAUUUAGAAGAGCAUUGAUCCUGAGUGAGAUUGCUAGUCUUAUAAACUCGGAUCCAGUCAAGAAAUACUUAGUAAAAACCAGCAAAGGGGACUUUGAAAAAAAAUAAAAGAAGAGAAAAAUGGAAAAAUAAAAAUGAAAAAAUGAAAAAGUAAAAAUGGAGAGGCUAAGGGGAAAACCCGAAAAGGGCACCUUAGGCCAAAGGGGAUUUGAGUUGAAAACCCGAAAGAGGCGGCUCAAAUAUUGAUUAAAAUGGGGCAUGAGGUGAUCAGAGCAACUCGAAUUUUGAUCAUAUUGGGGCAUGUGGUGAUCUUGCUAUGCCUGAAUCAACAGGAAAGGAUAGGCGACAUCUUGGGGCAUCGACAAAGCAAUGUAGAUCUCCUAAACACAUGUCAAACUCAGAAUGGUCUUCAGAAAGUUUGUACAAAGAAGUUCAAGCUGCGAUAUCUGGGGCACCCAAUUCUCAUAUUAUUUAUAUUAAAUUUUUUGUUCUUGGAAUACUUUUUUUCUUUUCCAAGAUAUACACUCUCAAUCAAUUUCUUUAUUAUCCUUCUUUUUUGGAUAAUUUAUUCCCUUCAAGCUAUGCUCAAAACCAACUUUAUUCUUAUCCAUUGUUAUGACUUUUUUUUUUUUUGCAAGCAUGUUGCAUUGGAAUAAUGAUUAAUGGACUAAUAAAAAUUUCACAAAUGAAGUUUUGCAUAUUACUUUGAAAAGUCUCUAAAUAAUAUAGGAGCCUGAAACAGGACUAUUGUUUAGAACGCACCAGGUUUAAAGGUUAGAAAUUUGAGAAGGAAAAGUCUAAAUUUGGACUUUCUCUUUGGAUUUUGUUGUCAAAUGCAUUGAUUGAACAAAAUGACGGGUUAAUGACAAAGCUUAAAUAAACAAGCAAGUGAUGAUCAUCAGGCAAGAGGAAGAGGUUACCUCAGAGAAGAGAGCCUUCAUCUGCGCAUAAGUCUUUGGUACGACACCCUGAGAAUGGUGUAAGAAACCAGAACGAUUUAGAUCCUAUAUCCUUGAAUUGUGAUAAGAGAGGAUUGAGGAAAAGCCACCUAUUUCUACCCUUAGAUUGCAGUGGGAGAAUGAUGGCACAAAUUGUGCGCCCUAAUGGAUUAAACUUUAAGGUUUAUAGUGGGGGGCAACCUGGCUAAAUGUUUUUCAGAAAGCCAGUCAAGCAAGAAGGCGUUGUAGCACAUCAGUCACAAAGCCUUGAUAAAUUUCGAGUAAUGAUAACCUAAACGGGAUCAUUCUCGAAAAAAAUAAAACUCUGCAUUCAUGCAAACACUAUUCACAAGUCUAGUUAGGAGCAUUUGAUUCAUUUUGAUCAUGCCAUCCUAAUCAUUAGGUAUAAUUAGGUUCAUUAUACAGGUCAUGUUCCCCAGAGAACAGAUCUGGUAAAUUACAGAUCUUGUCUCCCUAAGCAAUAGCGGAGCAAAUCGAAGACGACAAAUCUUACCUUCAAGUUGGAGCAGAUUGAAAGCCAAAAAUCUUAUCUCCUUGAGAUCACAGCGGAGCAGAUUAAAGCUAGUAAUCCUAUCUCCCUGAGAUUACAGUGGAGCGGAUUAAAAUAAAGGAUCUUAUCUCUCUAAAGUUACAGUAGAGUAGAUGGCAUCAGAUUGAAGCCAGAAAUCUUAUCUCCCUAAGAUUACAGCGGAGCAGAUUGAAGCUAGUAAUCCUAUCUCCCUGAGAUUACAGUGGAUCGGAUUAAAAUAAAGGAUCUUAUCUCUCUGAAGUUACAGUAGAGUAGAUCACAUCAGAUUGAAGCCAAAAAUCUUAUCUCCCUGAGAUUACAGCGGAGCAGAUUGAAGCUAGUAAUCCUAUCUCCCUGAGAUUACAGUGGAAUGGAUUAAAAUAAAUGAUCUUAUCUCUCUGAAGUUACAGUAGAGUAGAUCGCAUAAGGUCUUAUCUCCCUGAGAUUACGGUGGAAUAAACCAAAGAAUUACAGAUUUUACCACCCAGGCGGUGCAGUGGAACAGAUUAAAGCCACAACGAUAAAUUUUGCAUCCCUGACAUUGCAAUUAAAAAGAUUAAAGCUACAGCAGCGAAUCUUACCUCCCUGGUAGUGCAGUGGAACAGAUUAAAGCCACAUCAGUGAAUCUUACCUCCCUGACAUUGCAGUUAAAAAGAUUAAAGCUACAGCAGCGAAUCUUACGCCCCAGGCGAUGCAGCGGAAUAGAUUAAAGCCACAUAGGUGAAUCUUGCCUCCCUAACAUUGCAGUUAAAAAGAUUAAAGCUACAACAGUGAAUCUUACUUCUCAAGCGGUGCAGCGGAGCAGAUUAAAGCCACAUCGGUGAAUCUUGCUUCCCCGACAUUGCAAAUUAAAGCCACAGCGGCGAAUCCUACUUCCUUGGCGAUGCCGUGGAACAGAUUAAAGUCACAACGGUGAAUCUUGCUUCCCUGGCGUUGCAGUUAAAAAGAUUAAAGCUACAACAGCGAAUCUUACCUCCCAGGCAGUGUAGUGGAACAGAUUAAAGCCACAACGGUGAAUCUUGCCUCCAUGACAUUGCAGUUAAAAUGAUUAAAGCUAUAACGGUGAAUCUUACGCUCCCAGGCAGUGCAGUGAAGCAUAUUAAAGCCACAACGAUGAAUCUUGCUUCCCCGACAUUGCAGUUAAAAAGAUUAAAGCCACAAUGGCGAAUCUUACUUUCCAAAAGUUACGAGUUACAAAUCCUAUCUCCCUGAUAUUACAAUGGAGCCGAUCGAAGCAAUUCCUAUACCUUUGAAGAUGCAGUAGGAUGGAAUGGAGUCACUUGAAGAAGAAGAGCACCAAGGUCCAAGCUCGACCGGGAAAAAUUGGUCAUUUUUUAGUCUUUGCUUCAUUCCCGUUACACGACAAUAAGCAAAGAGAAGCAAAGAGGGGCAGCUGUAAGAGCCCAUUUUUGCUUGGCCCGAGCCCAAGUAUUAAAACCAAAUAAUAAUAAUAACAUAUAUAUAUAUAAUAAAUAAAAUGUCCACUUAAUGUCUAUUUACAUCUAAAACCCAUACCCAAUUACAUCAGCCCAAAUCAACCUAGCCCAAAACCCUCUCUAAACCCAGUUCUAAGCCCAGCAAACCAACUCGGCCCAAUACACUAUGGCCCGAUUUUAAAAAAAUUCUAGAAACACCUAGGGUUUCUGAAAUCCUUUGCGCCGCAGUCAAGCCAGGCUCUGCUCCGCACGUGCUGCACCACUGCCAAGCAUCGGCCUCCCCCAUGCGCCUCCGUACACUCCAGCUGGACUCCUCCGUACCUGCAGCAAACAACAAAUCGACAGCAAAAUGGAGCAAAUAAACAGCAAAAAAAGGAAGGCAGAGAAAAAGAAAAAAAUAGAAUUUGUAUUCGUUUUCUUUUCUUUUGUUUUUUCGGGUUAUAAAAAACCCAAAGAUGUACUGAAAGGGGGGCUUUUUUCCCCUUUUUACGCAUUCAGAAUACAAAGAAAAAAGAUUGAAAGGUGACUUUCGGUUUUUCUUUUCCAUUUACAGAUCGUCUUCUUUUUCUUUCUUUCUUUUUUCGCCUUACAUUUAUUGAUUAUCUACUAAAGAAACAGUUAACAAUAAAAGAAAGAUGUACUUGGUAACCCCAUCCUCUCCCUCCAUCGUCAUCGGAGUUGAGUGGGGGUUGGAGAGUCUGAGGAGAGGUUUCGUCGAGCGGCGCAGAGGGAGUUUUAGUUUAGGUUUUGUUUUUG